AGACUUUGGGACCUCUUCAGGGUUGGAUGUGACGCCAAAUGAGCUACAAAUAAAAGAGGCAUAAUCUGAAGGCCUAAUCCAAGGUUGUCAGUGUCAUAAAGGUAACUGGGUGCUGCAGGUCUGAGUCUGCACCUCCACCCAGCAGAAACCCAGCUGGUGGAGACAGGACCAGCUGGUUCAUGGGGGAUCUGAGCAGGACCAGGGCCUCAUCACAUCCCAGGUUGUCAAUAUAGACCUCGGAGGAAGAAUUCUGACGUGGCUCCAUCAACGACUCCACCAGGAUGGAGAAAUGCCCGAAGACCAGGAGAGCGAAGCUCCAGGAUCCUCCACCGGCUCCUGUCUGGAAGUGGAUCACUGAGAUGAUGUUCAUCAGCUCAUCCUCAACACUGAGGACGGUCCAGCAGAAUCCUGCCGGAACCAGACCGGAGCUCCUG